rnacentral:rRNA from 1 species
UACAGAGACUGCAAGCGUUAUUCGGAUUCACUGGGCGUAAAGGGUGCGCAGGCGGCCGUGUGUGUGAGGCGUGAAAGCCCGGAGCUCAACUCCGGAAUGCACCUCAAACUACACGGCUAGAGCAUUGGAGAGGGUAGCGGAAUUCACGGUGUAGCAGUGAAAUGCGUAGAUAUCGUGAGGAACACCAGAGGCGAAGGCGGCUACCUGGACAAUUGCUGACGCUCAGGCACGAAAGCGUGGGGAGCAAAAGGG